UACGAAGGGGACUAGCGUUGUUCGGAUUUACUGGGCGUAAAGCGUGCGCAGGCGGUUAUGUAAGACAGGUGUGAAAUCCCAGGGCUUAACCUUGGAACUGCAUUUGUGACUGCAUAGCUAGAGUACGGUAGAGGGGGAUGGAAUUCCGCGUGUAGCAGUGAAAUGCGUAGAUAUGCGGAGGAACACCGAUGGCGAAGGCAAUCCCCUGGACCUGUACUGACGCUCAUGCACGAAAGCGUGGGGAGCAAACAGG
rnacentral:rRNA from 1 species